rnacentral:rRNA from 1 species
UUAAAUUGAGAGUUUGAUCCUGGCUCAGGACGAACGCUGGCGGCGUGCCUAACACAUGCAAGUCGAGCGAUGAAACCCUUCGGGGUGGAUUAGCGGCGGACGGGUGAGUAACACGUGGGUAACCUGCCUCAAAGAGGGGAAUAGCCUCCCGAAAGGGAGAUUAAUACCGCAUAAUAUGUUUUGAUCGCAUGAUUGAAACAUCAAAGGAUUUUUCUUUUAGAGAAUUCCACUUUGAGAUGGACCCGCGGCGCAUUAGCUAGUUGGUGAGGUAACGGCCCACCAAGGCAACGAUGCGUAGCCGACCUGAGAGGGUGAUCGGCCACAUUGGAACUGAGACACGGUCCAGACUCCUACGGGAGGCAGCAGUGGGGAAUAUUGCGCAAUGGGGGAAACCCUGACGCAGCAACGCCGCGUGAAUGAUGAAGGCCUUCGG